CGGAGGAUGGCUCAGUGGAAAACAGCUCGACUAUCAAUCCAAGCACGCGGGUUCGAUUCCCCGACUCUUCCGU